AGAGUUUGAUCCUGGCUCAGAUUGAACGCUGGCGGCAUGCCUUACACAUGCAAGUCGAACGGCAGCACGGGAGCUUGCUCCUGGUGGCGAGUGGCGAACGGGUGAGUAAUACAUCGGAACGUACCCUGAAGUGGGGGAUAACGUAGCGAAAGUUACGCUAAUACCGCAUAUUCUGUGAGCAGGAAAGAGGGGGAUCGCAAGACCUCUUGCUUUAGGAGCGGCCGAUGUCGGAUUAGCUAGUUGGUGAGGUAAAGGCUCACCAAGGCGACGAUCCGUAGCGGGUCUGAGUGGAUGAUCCGCCACACUGGGACUGAGACACGGCCCAGACUCCUACGGGAGGCAGCAGUGGGGAAUUUUGGACAAUGGGCGCAAGCCUGAUCCAGCCAUGCCGCGUGAGUGAAGAAGGCCUUCGGGUUGUAAAGCUCUUUCGGUGGGGAAGAAAUUGCUUCGGUUAAUACCUGGAGUAGAUGACGGUACCCGCAUAAGAAGCACCGGCUAACUACGUG
rnacentral:rRNA from 1 species